UACAGAGGUCUCAAGCGUUGUUCGGAUUCAUUGGGCGUAAAGGGUGCGUAGGCGGCGCGGUAAGUCGGGUGUGAAAUCUUGGAGCUUAACUCCGAAACUGCAUUCGAUACUGCCGUGCUUGAGGACUGGAGAGGAGACUGGAAUUUACGGUGUAGCGGUGAAACGCGUAGAUAUCGUAAGGAACAUCAGUGGCGAAAGCGGCUUCCUGGACCAGAACUGACGAUCAGGCUCGAAAGCGUGGGGAGCAAACAGG
rnacentral:rRNA from 1 species